rnacentral:rRNA from 1 species
AAUAUUGCACAAUGGAGGAAACUCUGAUGCAGCGACGCCGCGUGAACGAUGAAGGUCUUCGGAUCGUAAAGUUCUGUCCUAGGGGACGAUAAUGACGGUACCCUAGGAGGAAGCCCCGGCUAACUACGUGCCAGCAGCCGCGGUAAUACGUAGGGGGCGAGCGUUGUCCGGAAUUAUUGGGCGUAAAGGGUUCGCAGGCGGUCCUUUAAGUCAGGUGUGAAAGAUCACGGCUCAACCGUGGUAAGCACUUGAAACUGGAGGACUUGAGUUAAGGAGAGGAAAGUGGAAUUCCUAGUGUAGCGGUGAAAUGCGUAGAUAUUAGGAGGAAUACCAGUGGCGAAGGCGACUUUCUGGACUUAUACUGACGCUGAGGAACGAAAGCGUGGGGAGCAAACAGG